AAACAAAACCUACCAAUAUCAGUAGUUCAGUGCCACUGUCCACUGAAAAUCUGAAACUAAACCCUCACAAAACCCUAAAAACCGUUUGCGCUUUUCCGAUAAACAAAGUAAUGGCGUUCCGAUCCGCAUCGCUAUCUCGCUCCUUCAUCUCUACAGCCAGAUCUUCAAUUCGCUCGCCGGCGCCCUCUCCCCUUCCCCGCAUCCGUCCACCGCCCCUCGCCGCCCCUCGCAUCCAGUCCCGCCUCUUUUCCACGCCUGCUACCACUUCCAGGAAUUUGGGGCAAUUGGGUUGCAUACAAUCACUUUUGCCACUGCAUAGCACGAUGGCUGUAGCGUGUCUCACUUCUCACCUUGCUGUCAGUGCACGAGCUUGUAGCGAGCUGUCCAAUGGUACCUUCCGUCGUUCUUGUCAAGAUCGCUAAUAGUCUCUUUGGAUGAAUGGAAAAGAUGGGUGAUGCACGAGGACAUCAAUAAUCCAAUUGCAAGAGAAGAAUGCUGCAUUGUGAUCCUGAUUCCUGAGUUACUUGAGCAACCUUUUGGAUUUGUAUGGCUGCCUGUAAGAUUAUGGAGAGCCAAUAAUUACGGGAGUAUUAUCUGGGAAAUAACAGUUGUUGGAAUCUUGAAUGAGACUCAUCUGUUAUGCUUUUAUUUUAAUUUUCCUUUUUUGACUCAGGAAGGAAGAACCUGUUUUUAAUCCUCAAACUGUGAUAAUAUUCAAGAUUAGUUAUUGAUUCUUGUUGUAUCUGGUUUUUGGUUAAAUGCUGUACAUUCAUCAUUUGGGAAUAAUAGUUAUUCAUCGCAUGCUUUUUAUUGAA